rnacentral:miRNA from 1 species
CAAGUGCUUUGAUUUUGUUGUGU